UGUCAAGCUUUAAGGUCUGAUCUUGCAGUUAAAUUCCAGCAUGGUAAGAAUUAAAGCUGUUACCAGCAUCUCCAGUGUGCAGGACUUUCUUAUGAGUGAGACUCGGGCUUUUUUCCUAAGCAUUAAAAAUCAAAAUGGAAACUGUAAAGUUCAUGGUAAAAGCAACUGCUGAAAAAAAGCAACUGAUGAAGAAUUUCCUGUGAUUGUUAAGCUCCAAGGAAGCUCACCUGCCUGUUCCUAUUUCUUUAUUCCAAAGGGUAUAGCUCUAGUUUAUGCACAAUGGUUUCAGUACAUGACUUUUCUCUUUGGCUUGGCAGUUGAUCAAAGAGAAUUAGAGAAAAUACUAGUUGUCAUUUCACCGUUGUUUUGUCAGAAAAGGGUUCAAGUAGACUUUCUGUGACUGCUUUGAUGAACAGAACAUCUUUCUGGAAAAGCCAUCUGAGGCAAAUUUCUGUAUAGCAUUAAACUGGGACAUCAUGGAUUAUCUUUAAUAUUAGAAAAAUCUUUUAAUUCCUUGAUAGCAUGUCUUGUAUUCCAUUAUUGUUAUGUGUAAGUUGCUGUGAGGAUUCAUCAAAUCAUAAGGGAGAUUUUAGAUGUGAAAUAGUAAUAAUUUUCAGUAUUUUUUACCAGAAUAGUAGCAGCUUUUAGUAUACUCCAGAAUAAUUUUAGCAGGUUUUCACAUUCAGAUUAUUCCUAGGAACCUUUCUCUGCAGUGAACAAGCACCCGCUAAAAAUGUUCUACCUGUGCUUCAGCCUCCGGAAAGUAAAUUCAGCUGUGCAUAUGAAAAGUAUGCUGAGGAAAACUACUUUAAAAUGAAUGGUUGAGAUCUUAUUAGCAUCUAGAAAGUAGCUAAUGAUUAGGGCACAUUCAGGAGCUUUUUCAGUGUUUUAGAUGUUGGGAAAACAUCAGCCUGGAGCCAUUUGAGGCAAUAGUAAAAUAUACUAAUUCCUUCAAAGUAUGAAUUUAAACUUAAUAACCCCCCCCCCCCCAGAUGCUGACAUUCCAACUAGCAGUCGUUGCAGGAAAAAAACUCAGAUGCAGAUAUUCCCUAUAUUUGGAUAAUUAGAUACUGUCUCAAUUCUUCAAUGAUAAGUACACGAUUUUUUAAAAAAAUUUUGUGCUGUACCUAGGUAAGUCUUUUGACUGUAAUUCAGUAGGUUGCCUUUGGUGAUUUCAUUCAAUGUAAGUCUUUGAUAUCAAGUACCGCUGCUUUAGAGAAACAGAUCUUAGUACUGGGGACUUCACCUGCAGAUUGUUGAGUCUGCUUUGCCUCACACUAGCUCAAAACCCAUGGAGUGACCUCAGUAAUUGUUGGAGUGCAUUAGGUGCACUUGUGGAGUGCAUCUCAUUUAGUUUUGUCCAAAGUGAAUUCCGUAUUCAUACUUCGUUCUUCUCUGCAGUGUGAACCAAAGUGUGGUGACUGGGGACUCUCAGGAGACAGCUUAAAAGCCACAUUCAUGAACCAAGCUCAAAAACUUAAUAUAGACAUUCUGUUGUUUUUUGCCUUCACAGGGUUAUGUGUGCCUCUUAAAAUUCUUGUGCAUGCCAGAGGGGUCUUCCAGUAGGUAGUACUAAGGAGACCUUCCUAGAAAUGGAAGGUGACCAGGAAGAUACUGGCUCUUGAACUGCUUUUGUGCAUUUUGUAAAGGUGAUGUGGGUGAGGGCAUAUAACCUUUGAAUAUUUGGAUACUCUAGAGAAAGUGAGAUGUCUUUCAUUAGCUAGCCUUGAAAUGCCUCUUAAGAUAGCCCAAAGUAAAGUCUGGUAGUAUGUAGAAGUAUUUCAGAUGUCCAAAACUAGCCAUAGAAUUACAAAUUUUUAUAAAACCUGUAGCUGAGGAAAUGACAGAAAAAACAUGUUUAAAUUAAUCCUUAGUUUGAACAGGCAUAUCUGUACCUAUCUGACUUGUCCGGUAGGAAAAUACAUGCAGCACCUUUUCAGGGAUUUUACCUUCCUGCAUUCACUACAUCUCAAGGUGAGGUACUGAGAGAAUUUUCUUCUGGUGUACCAUGCAGUCUGCUAUAAGUGGCCGCUGCUUUAGAACCAACAGGUUUAAUCUUGGGCAUGAUUCUAUCAUCACUCUCCUUGUUCACUGCCAUGCUGUGCUGUGCUGGCAUAACCGGUUGUGUGGCUGUGCAGGCAGGGAAGAGAAACAGAUGAAAAUUAACCUGCCAAAAAAGAAGGAUCCUUUUGAGCUGAGUCAGUUCUAUGAUCUGGUUCAGCACUGAGCUCUGCAGACUUCUGCUUCUGUAGGUGAAUGGUGACCAAGGCUGGCAAUUUUUUACCUCUGUUGUAAAUAUUUUCAGUUCUGUUCUGUCUUACUUCUCUUCUAUCCUGCCAUUUUUUUUACUCUGUGCAAAACCAACUUAACUGGCUAACCUAGUGGAAAACUGCUCUUCUUUUGAGAAAUUAGAUUUCUGUGGAACAAACUGAAUCAACUCAGCAAGGGACCCUCAGCAAUGCCGGUUUGAGGGAGGAGCUGGAUUGUACAGGUGGGGUAGGUAAAAAUGGGAGAUAGGACUUCUCUUUCCUCAACACAGCUAACUCUGUUUACUUCACUUGCAUCAGUUGUGAAGGUGGUCUUCCACUCCUUAAUCUGGCUGUGUCGCCUUCUUUGUGCAACUAUUGCUUUGUCAGGCCAGGUGUCCUCCUGGCGGUAUUUACUAGGUCGUCCUCAUGGACAAGCAAGGACCCUGCCUCUGCUUAGUAAUAAGCAGUAAAAAAAAACAUAGUGAAGGAAGGGAAGGAUUUGCCUAUUACAGGAAAUUUUUCUGAGGAGAGGAUAAGUCAAGACAUAUUUUUCCAUUUUGUAUGUAAAGAUCUUUGAGUGAUGUAGUAGUAGGUAAAUAUGAAGGCUAUGCUACAUUUGUACUUAGCAAAGAGCUGAACAUCUGAGAACUUGCAUGGUAGGUAACUAGAAGAGCUGAAUGUUAGAUUUCUGCAGUGUUAAAUUUGGAAAGUGGAAAAGGUGAACACUGUUACACAUUUACAGGCACGUAAGGUCACUUUAUGAAUGUAUUAGUUUUUUAAUAGUCAAAACAUCUAAUGUUUAGUUUUUCUAACCUAUUGUCUUGACUAUAGUAUGCCUGACAGAACUAAUUUGAAGACUAUAUAUGUAUAAUUAAUAUGCAUACACACACAAACAUUUAUUAUAGUGUAUAUCAGUAAUUUUUAAAACAAGAAAAGUGACACAUUUUUGCUGGGUUUGGUUUUCCCUUUUGCUCGAGGGCUUUCUUUGGCACCAUUCAAUCUGUCAUCUUACUUGCACUCAGUAUAGUUUUUCUAAGCAUAUCUCUAGCUCAGUCUAGCUAUUAUGCUAACUUUGAGGCUGCUGGCCUGCUAUGUACUAAAUUGCAGAUGAUGUGCUACUGACUUAUUUUUCUUCUGUUGGACAUCUGUCUGUCUACCAACUACUUAAAACAUCUGCAUGCAAGAUCAUCAUGUGAUUUUGUUUUGGCCCUGCAUACCUUCUUGCUGAUGAGAACAGAGUCACUACCUUUCUUUUGAGUGAACUGUUACCCAUGUGACUGAUGGAGGUAACUGGAACACCCAGUAUAAGGCAUCAGCUGUUUGGACAAGUCAGGCUUUGAGAUUCUUGAUAUUUCCUUAAAAUGGGGAAGGGAUUGGGUUGAAGAUGAGGAUAGUUAAUUGUAUAAUUGUGGUCAGUGGACCAUGUGUAAAUUAAAUUUAAGUCUUUAACUACAACUCAGAAGCUUGCUGGUCCAUGCAUUUGUCUAAUAUUGUAUGUUUUCAUGGUCUCCAUGGCUACUAAUUAUGUACAGACCAUGGUUUGGGUAUUGAAACGCCGUAUGCAGAGAUAAAUUGCAAAUGUAAGCAACAUCUUCGGUAUUAAGGUAUAUCUAUAGUGGAAGUGUGAUUUUUGAAAUAGCAGAAAAUACUGAAAUCCUGUAGUCACUAUAAAAAUCAUAACAUAAAAGAACAGUCUGGCUAGAAAAAUGUUAAGAAUUCAUAAUAAAACCACAAUUUUACAGGAAGUGUGAGAAAAAGAAACUAUAGAAGGAAUUAAUAACCACGUUAUGUAAAAUCAAAACAGUAUCAUAAGGGAUAGCUUCUAGCAAAGAAUGUAAAGACCAUGGUUAUACAAAUGUGGUGUAAAGGCUGUUAAUGGACAGCAGACAAGCUCAACGGAGAAAAGAUUUGUGUGCUUAAGGAUUAUGCAUUUGUAGGUAGGUGCAAGCAUCCUGUUCACUAGAAAAGCUUAACCAGAACAAAAUUAGGAUAUUAUUGCUCUAUUCUUCCCAUAAAAACAAACUAAAUAUUCUAGAUGUUUGUAAUCCCAGUAGCCUCUCCUUAAAAAUCCCUCACUGAGCCUCAUUCAAAGCUGACAAAUAUUGAGUCUUUUAGCAAUUCUUUAUGAGUUAGUUUUUUACUCCAUUGUGUUAAAGGUGAAAUUAAUCCCACCUAGAGCUCUCAUCUGUCCAUGAGCUCUCAUUUAUCCCAGCAAAAUUAUUCCUAUAUACGGUGAACAGAAUGUGAACUAGUCCAGAUGAUAGUAUUUUGCCAAGCCAACUUUCAGUGAAUUUCUUUCCGUUUACUAUGAGUAAAUGCUUGUGCCCACACAGUAGAGAAGGGAACAAGUUGCUGCCAGUGUAAAGAAAGUGGGAAUUUUUUUCUUUUGCUAAUAAUGCAUGAGAAAAACGGAUCUUUUGCCAAGAUAUUAGUAGCCCAUGUAUUUGGGAAGUAUACUGUUGCCAGGCCCUCAAAACUUGUAUUUUUACUGUAGUGCACUUUUAUCAAAAUCAGAAGUUACAUUAUUUGAGAAGAUUGCAUGGAUACAAUUACACUUGGUAGCCUUGUGCACCACCCAUUGACCAUUGAUUUCAAUUUCAGAGGCAGUGACCUGGGGCUACGUAUAGUGCUCCAAAACUCAAUUACCAGUCAUUCACUUAAUCAUGCUCACAGAAGCAUAUGCUGUUUGUGUGUCUGUAAGAUAUUUCUCUCUUUUUUGGAUACAAAAUGAUCGGCCUCCUGGUUUUGAAGUAAUUGUGCUACUUCUGGUGAUGUCUGGUUGAUCUGUGAAUCUGCUCCUGUUUUACUUAUGUCUCAUCUUCCUUCAGGAGACCAUUUGAUUCUGUUUAUUUUAAUUUUCUUUAUUAACCUGUAUAGAAUUACUGGAUAUUUAUUGAAGUUUCAGAAUUUAAUUAUAGCUCCUAUUACAACUGAUUAAAAAAAAAAAAAGUUUUGAAAAAAGGUGAUGAGUGGCAAAGUACUCCCAAGAGUUUCAGCCGUUCCUUUUCCCCCUUAAUCUCACCAUGGAUCAAGAUGCUUGAGCAUACUGCUUUCUUAAUGACAGCAAGAAAAUAAAGCAUUAAAAACCUUAGCUCUUCUUUAAAAACAAUAGAAGAUAAAGACGUGAGGCCAACAGAUUCCUUUGCUGUAAUUUUCUUCCAUGUCUGACUUUUCAUCUUUAUAUUUGGUGUAGAUUGUACUGGCUAAAUACUGGAAAUGGCUUUUUAGUGCUUUUCUGGUAUUUUUCAUUGAAAAGACUUUUCAGUUACUGUUAUUUCUGUUCUUGUGCAGGUUUUAUUCUUUUGUGAAUUGACAAAGGCAUACUUCCUUUGGGACUGACUGUAAUAUCUUUCAUUGCCUGUAACAUGACAGGUUAUACUGAAAUCUUUCUCAGCAGUGUUGUUUUCUUGUUUAUUUUUUUUUUCUUCGGAUGUAUGUGUCUUUAUAGAACUUGUUGAUCAAAUACAUCAUAUAUCUCAUUGAGAUUAUUUUUGGUGUUAGAUGAAAAAGUCAACCUCUUGAAUGCCAUUAGAUUGAGUAUUUUCUUUCAGAAUUUCUACUAAAUGUGAAGUGCUUCUUUUCUUGGAACUUUUUUAUUUGUACCUGCUUUGAAUUGACAUCUUCUGGAAUCUCAGGAUAUCAUCAGGUUAUCAGGUCAACAGUUGCAAUUACCUUUUUCUCAUUUCUUUCUUACUUUAUUUUUUUUUCUUAAAUCUGGCAGAUGACAGGGCAUUUCUUCCGCUUUGCCUCACAUUCCUGAAUGACUUCAUAGGCAACUCCAUGAAAGGUUUUUUCCCAUAGUCCAUCUUUCUUGUAUUAGCAUAGCUAUGAGAAGAAUGUGUUUUAAUUGCUUGUAAAUAUUACCACUUUUGACCAUGGUUGUUUCUUUCAUUUUGCAGCCAGUGAUCUUUCUAAUAGUCUGUUGUGCAGGAGGAUAUAUCUGGAGAAUGAACUGCUUUAGUGCAGUAAAAAGGAAGUAAUUGAAAGAAAUCACUAAAGGAUAUUGUGGUUGGUGCAGCAGCUGAGCCCCCACCCAGAGGCUUACUCACUGCCCCCAGGCAGGAUGAGGGACAGAAUUAGAAAAGCAAAAGUGUGGAAACUCAUCAGCUGAGACAAGGGCAGUUUAAUAAGUGAGGGAAAGGUGUGUGCCUUAAUGAGAUCAAGCUAGACAAUACCCACUGCUCUCAAUUUACCAGGCCAGUCAUCUCCUUGUAGAAAGUAGAUUUUGUUAGGCUGGUCUCUGUGUUCUGCUGCAUUUUUUUAUACCUGUUAGCCAGACAAGUAGAAAAGUCCAAUUUUCCUUUGUAUGUGACCUUCUACCAGACAAAAAGUACCAAUAAGAAAUUGUAUAGCUUGUUCUGCAAAUUUAUCUGCCCCCUUUGUUCAGGAAUGCAAUUUGUAGAUCAUUGCAAGGAGCCAAUACCCACUGUACGGCUUUGCCAUCUGGUACAGAUCCUGUAGGAUGAAGGAAGACUUUUAUGAACAUAUUUUGUCAGUUUACAUUGUUGGUUAAUGGUUUGUCUACAAUUGGUGAGUAGCAUUUUUACUUCUCUCCUGUGUUAGCUUUUUGUAGCUGCUGAAAAAGCUUAGGUGAUUCAUCUCCUUUUCUUGUCCCUUCAAUGGAAUGGAAAUUCAGCUUCCAUACUUUCAAGGAGUUUCCUUCAUAAGGAAAAUAAAAAGUAUACAUUCUAACUGUAAGUUCCAUUUGAGUCAAUAUAGUAUAUUUGCCCCGUUCCCCUGGGCUGUUACACAACUAUCUAAUGUCAAUUACUGUGCAUUGAUGAUGCAUCUUAAGAUACAAACUGUUUCUUUAAAUUUUUGUAUGUGAAUGUAAUUGAAGAAAAUCCUUUUUUUGGGUGCCAAAAUGAGAUCAUUUGAGUAAGGAUGCGAUUUAAAGCUGUUUAAAGCUCACAGUGCUUCACAGCUUGACACAGUUCUGUGAUUUAUUCUAUAUUAGAUGUAAUUUCAGAUACUAGGUUGUAACUGAUAACAUUAUUCACUGUGCAUGAAGUUUUUUCUGCCAAAAUACAUUACUUUUUAUUUAUACAUUAUGCAGAUUUCUUUUAUUUAUGUAAGUACUUUGCAAAUGCUCAGGUAAAAAGGUAGUGAACUAGAUAGAAACUUAUAUGCUACAUAAGGCUGCAUACUUAAGAGUUUAUAAGUCUCUGAGGACAAGAGCCAACACCCAACUUACAUGCAAGUCCUGAAAUAAACUUGAAUUCUUCUAUUAGCUUGGAUUCACCCAUAAUUAACUUUAGCUACUCUAGCCUGACUUUUAAAAUAUAGCUUACUAGGUAAAAAACACUUGCUGGUUAUUUAAGAAUUUCAAGAGAACUAGUAUAAUGUAAUACAUGAGUUAAGACAUCCUAGAAGACACAGUCAAUUUGAGUAUUAAAUGAGAUGCCAUUUAUUAAAUUUGUAUAUAACAGCCUCUGCAUCAAGGGCCUACAUACCACUUAUUUAUUUAUUAUUUUAUUUAUUUAUUAAACAAAAUUUAGCAGUUGAGAGAUGCUCUUAGAACACACAUGAUACAUUUAUUUCAGUUUUUCGCUUUUGAAAGAGAGUGUUUUUUUCAGGAUUUUUCAGUGCUUGAAUAUGGUUUCUUACUAAGCCUUUCCACAUCAGGAAACCAGGAUCAAAUGUCUUGAAAGUGUUGCGUGAACACAGCUUUGUUCUUGAACUUACUCUUUAUAGUUCCUUGUUUUUUUAACAGAAUACUUUUGUAUAGCAUUUGUUAGCUGAACAGCUAAAAUUCUGCUCAGACAGUUUGUCUACUCUGUUUUAAAGGAAUGCCCAUAUGAACUCACUAGUCUGUUCAAAUUAGGUAAUUCAGAGAAGUAUAAUCUGUAUAUUAGAAUUACAUAAUGUAUAUUUUUGUGGUAUACUUUGCUCUAAGAGAGGGUUUGGAUUUUCCCUCAAUGUCUGUCAUUAACAAUAUCAAAGCUUUACCUUUCUGGAUGAGGCUUAAAGUGCAGUCAUUAAAGUAAAGGGAAGACAUGAUAUUUAAAAAGAGUAUUUUGAAAGUAACAAUUAUCUAUUUCUUUGAUAAUUAAGGCUUGCAAACCUCUGAAUUUACUGAGGCACUACUAGUCUACUGGAAAUGACAUACAUGGAUACAUGUUGCAUUCCUCUUACAUCUGAGUAGUUACUUCUGACUGCAUCCAUUCUUUCUCCAGGGCUAAGAAUUUGAGAUGGGAGGUUGAAGAAGCUCCAGUAGUGUUAACUUAAUGUGGUACUCAAAAGUAUAUAACAGUUUCUAAAAAAAUGAACAAACAUUUCACAGUUAAUUUAUCAUAUUGAUCAACCUAUGUGAACAUUACCUUUCUGGUGUGUCUUCAAGGCUAGGCUGAAGAUUUUUGAAUGAAGACAAACAAAAAAAUAGUACAUGAUCCAAAAGAUGCAAGUUGAAAAAAAAAUAAAAAAAAAAAAGGAAGAAAAGCUGCAGUUGACACAAGAAGGUGGUUAAGCGUUAACAUAUAGUGUGAUGAUGGAUGUCAGGGGCAGAGGAGGGUGUUAAGUCAUUGUUUUAGACUUGUGAGGUGGAUUUACUAGAGUUUGUGUGUUUCUGAGCAGAAAAUAUUGUGUUGAUCCAGUAAUUUGGGGGUAUUUUUAUUGCUCCAGGGAAUGCUGUAUUAAAAGUAGAAGCAGCUUUAAAUAUUCUUUAAAAUGGAAUGCAUUGCCUCUCUCUGUGGAGCAUGCUAUUAGGAGCUAUAUCCCUAGCUACACACUUGUGAAAUUAAAAAAGCUUCAUGGCUGGAAAGGUGCCCAAAUUCUGAGAAAUCCUGUCUUUCUGAAGAGAGAAAUAAAUAGUCAAUCAAAAAUAGGUAUCUGUAAUGCUUUGUAGGCUAGAUCCAAAGAGAGCCAUAGAUGUGGUGAUAUUUCGGUAUCUUAAACUUCAGUAGUUUGGACCAUGCAGUGGAAGGGAAGAGAACAGGGUUCAGGUAUUUGCAUUUUGAACUAUUGCUGAAUUUUCUUGGCCUGUUAAAGGGCAAGUAACAAACCAGAAAUAGUCCCUGGAGCAGGGACUAGAAUCUAGGUCUUCUCUCCCAGCUGAGCACCCCGGUUAUUACCAGGCUACAGUGUGAUCCUUGUUAAUUGUCCAGAUGCCAUAGCAUUUUAAUUUUUAGCUGGGUAGUUACCUAGCUUUAGCAGACUAGAAGCUUGUUACUAUCCAGCCUUUUAGAUUCCUAAUUAAAGUACUCUUCUGGGAAAUAAAUGCAUGGUUUUAAAUCCCCAUAUGCUAACAGGGAAUUAAAGCCAAAUUCCUUGCCUCUGUGGUACUCGCUGUAAUCUGGUAUGUAUCUCCUCUUCUGGAUUGGUAGUCCCAAGCCAUUUGUGUACCUUGCAGUGCUGUUAUAUAGCCGUAUACAAACCGUAUAUAAACCGUCCUUUCACUGGGGAGUGUUUGCUGCCUCAGGUGUAAUUUCUGUGUUACCUUGCACAUGACCCUCCUAACGUGUCUGGAUGGAGCUUCAGCCUUCUAUAAAGUUGCCACCAGAAAAAUUAACUGUAUUUAUCAUUUCUGUUUCUAGGGAAAUCCUGUGGUGUUUGUUGGAUGACUUUGUAUAAGACUUGAGGGCCUGAAUUUUGCUUAUAUGCAAAAAUACUUCUAUUACAUGCUGCCAAGAAUUCAGAAGCCAUGCAGAUGAUGAGAAAACAUGAUGCUUAUCAAGUAUUUUAAAAUGGUAAAAGCAGAAGCACUGGUUUUUGUUGCCAUUUAAAUAAAAAUAUCUUAACAGUUAGAAAGUUCUGGGGUCACCCAGCCUGGAUGCUGUAUUAAUGCACUUGAAGGAAUAAAGCUGCUGGACAACCAGAUUUCCUUUCAGUUGUUUAAGUAAAAUAAGAACAAUUAUUUUUUUUAAGAAAAUCAAAAUAACUAACAGCCUGUUUUACUUAAGAAGGUUUUUCUGUCAUGGCUUCUCUGAUGUAGUCUUCUUCAAUGUCUUUUCAAAACAAAAAUUAUUUGGAUAUACUUUAAGAUUGUAGCAAGUAGGAAAAAAGUUUUGGAGCACUCUCCCCAGCAGUCUUCCCCACAACCUCAUUGACAUGCCAUAUGAUAAAAAAAAUAUUAAAAAUUAUUAAAAAAAAAAAAGAAAAAAACAUUUGAAAUCAGUUCUCCUCCCCUUAGUUUGUUGCCUUCCUAGAUAAAUAAUUCUAAGUAGUUCACUGCAUUUUUAAAUUAUGUACACUUAGUAUUUUUACAAUUAUAAUUUUCCAUCUUAAUAUUUUGGUAGCGGUUGUUCUAUGCAAAGUGAUUGGUGUCAAGUUUUUUUUGUUUUGUGUUUUGGUGGGGUUUUUUUGUUGUUGUUUGGUUGGGGUUUUUUUGUUUUGUUAUGUUGGGGUUUUUUUGUUGGUGGUGGUAUUAUGUUUGUUUCUUCCUGAAAAACAAAAAAGUGCUGAUGUGACCAUGUCCAUAUCUUAGCUAGCGGGUGCCUUUAGAAUAAGAUGGUACUGCAUCAUAAUUUCCUGAUGAGUUACAGCAUCAUGAUGGCAUGUGCUCCCACUCAGAAUCUAUUUUAAGAAAGGACAGAAGCACUUUCUUAUAAGUAAUCUUGUACUCAAAAAUACUGGGUUGGAGUGAAGAAAGUCUACAAAGUAAUGAUGUUCUUUUUGGAGAUCAAAAGAGAAUUAAUGGAAAAGUAAUUAUUUAAUCUGUAUAGUUAAAAAAAAAAACUUACCAGAAAAAAGCUUCAGCAGCAUAAUCUCUCUUUUUUGUAUUAGUCUGUACAUCUGUCCCUAUAACAGAUUCAUAUAGCAGAAGAAAUAUUAAAGACUUACUCAAAGAAGCUUAUGGCCCUCUUAAUUAGGCAAGAGCUUUCAGAGACUGUUUAAUGUUUAACGUUGUAGCAGCCCUUAGAAAUUGCACCAUGUGUUUUGGAAAUUUGUUAUCAAGUUUUCUGUGUAACAGAGCAUCUGAUCUCUUUGCUAAAUUGUGCCUAUUUUGACACUGGUUUCAGUUUGUCAAGAAAAUGUAGUUCAUUUGAGCAAAAUGAUUUUAAGGAGCAAGUCUUAAGAGGCAAACACUUCAGUAUUCUGUAAAUACUGACCCACUCUUGGACAACUCUGUGUUUUCCCACAAUAUAAGGGUCCUGAAAGUGUUUGAGGAUACUGUGUAGAAUUAAUGUUCAUUAAAUUGACCUUGAUGAGGUGAGCUCAGGUUUUUAUACACCUGUUAGUUCAGAUUAGCUGUAUUUUAACCCAAGAUCACUGUCACUCAGCUACAUACACUGUAAACUGUUACAGCCUUAUUUUGCAUUUAGGAAACAGGGCAGCUGAGUACUAUAUAAUACUACUAUAUAACAGUACCACUAUACAGAUCAGUACUAUUACAAGAAGAAAAACGAGUACAAACCUAAAUAUUUCAAGUUGUGAGCCAUACCAUUUUCUGGUGGACUAGAAUAUUUUUAUAUUCUUUCUAUGCUGUUUUCCUAUGAGCUUCUCAUUAUCUGAAUACAGCUAAAUCAAAUGUGCUAUUAACACACCACUAUUUCUUGAAUGGCACGUGGGAAUAAUCAAAAUUUGAAAAAUGGAGCACAGAAGGGACUGACUUCACCUAGCUUGCUUAUUUUUACAUUAACAAAAUGUAGGUAAGAAAUCUUUAGGUCUCUGCAGUCUUCACUUACAAAAUUAACACUCUGUAUUUAAUGAAUGACUGCAGUGAAUAUGUGUGUAGCCAGAAUUGCAUGAUUAAAUAAUUUGCUAUGGUAAGUUUAAAAGGCUAUCACCCCAGAGUAUCAGAGGCUUCCUGUAAAACAAAAUAACUGAUUUUGAGAAACACAGAAACUUCCAAAAGAAAUUUGACUUAUAAAGCAAUGUUACAUUUUUAAGGUUUAAUUAGAUGGGAUCUGCUGUGAGUAAAAAAGAGCUCUUUUUUUGGAAGUAGGUAUACCAGUUUUGCAAAGCAUUCUUUUCUAUACCUGUAAUAAAAUCAUCUCUCUGUACUGGAAUUCGACAUUUUAUAGGGAAUAAAUAUUUUUAUGGCAAUCUCCUUCUUAGCAGCAGGCUUUACAUGUUAAGAAUAAUUCUGGUGGAGUUAGUGUACUGAUUCAUAUCCAAUCAAGAAAUUGAAAAUUUCUCAGAGGAUGCAGUUUCUCCCAGGUCUCCAAACAGUAUGGUGUUUUGGUCAUGCUUAUUUUUGUGACCAGGUAGCCUGCAGGCUAAUUGUUUGAUUUGUGUUUAAAGGUGCAAUGUACACAGAAUAUUCACUUCAUAGAUUCAGAGGAAAAAAACAAACCAAGCCCCAACACUACACCAAAAACAUGAAGAGGAACGUUUCCUUCAUGACUGACAGAGCAUUCAUGUGAGCAAAACACAAAUGAAAGCAUAUUGGAGAUACCAUUUUUGAAACACUGUAACACUCUUGUGUUUCCUAUGGAAGAGGCUUUUGCAAAUGGGAACUGUUACCUUAUUUUUGAGCACUUUAAUUAUUUUCAAUAAAAUUUGAUAGACGAAUAGCAAUAUCAAAAAUUUUAGGCAUCUAUAGGUGCCUAGAAUAUCCAGCAAGGAAAGGUAGAAGGACCAUCCAGCAAGGAAAAGACUUCUGUGUGAGUUCAUCACUUCUCAGACAAAUGGCACUUCAUUCAUUCCGUCACCUAUGGAAAUUUGGUUUACUGAAGGAACUGAACUGAAUGUAGAAACACAGAGGAUUCAAAUAUGUAUUUACUUGCUUUAUGUUGGGACAUCAUUUAAGCCAUAUAAAUAAUUUUUUAUAAUUUACUAGUAAACAGUGACCAGUACAAAAUGUUUCAAACUUAUUUUCAGUUCACAUCCAGAAAAAAAGAUUUUUCUGAAGUGCAGUAAAUUGGUGGAGGAUGUGUGUGCUUUCGGUAUGUUAUAUUGUUUUUUGGUCUGCUUUCUCACAGUAAUGGCUUGCCUGUUUCAGUCCUGCUAAGCUCUUGAUUGCUGUGACACAUUCUGUUAAUCAUUAUUUUAGGAUAGGAUGUUGAGUUGCAGGACUAUGGUGUCGAAAGAUAUGUGACCGAAACGGAAUUCAUCUCAGCUUGCAGUAUAAAAUGAGAAAGAACAAUGGGUUGUAAAUGAGAAGACAUUGCACCAUGAAGGAAGAGGCAAGGAGGUCUCUGCACAAGUGAAAAUUAAAUUUAAAAAAGAAAGGUUCUUAUUAAAAAUUUCAUUGGGUACUCUAGCACAAGACAGCUGAAAGUAAGCAGCGGAACUUUUUUUUCCUCCAAAACAAAAUGUCGGGUUUGAUCUAUGAUUGUGCCAUAAAGGAUUAUAAAACAUGCUCUGGGUGUACAGAGCUCUUUUUAAAAUUUUUUUUUUUAAAUUUUUUUUUAAUUUUACAGAAACUUAAUGAGCAAGUCCAGGACUAUACUCUGUGUGUUCUAGCUCAUUUCUCCUUGCACAGUUUGUUAUAGACAUGUUUUUCCUGAAGUUGCCAAAAUAUGAAACUGCUGAAAUUUUUUUGCUCCCAACAUGUUGCACUUUAAAUAGUGACUCAAGAUUUGUAUGACUUUCUUAAUAUACUGUUCUUGUUUUUAUGGAAAACAUUUUUUUCUAUGGAAAACAAUUUAUUUUUGUAAAUAACACUCAACUUUUAUUUUCCAUGCAAUGUCCAUGGUCAAAGGUAAAGACUGAGUGGCAGCUGGCAGAUAUCAAAGAACUGCUUAGUAUGCUAUUCAUAUUGUCAUAUUCUCUGUAGAAGAUAAUUCUAAAAAAACCCUCUGUGUUCUAAAAAGUGUUACAGAAGUUCAUAGCAUUAAAUGAGUGAUAAUGUUUUUAAUUUAUUCAGAUAUACCAACAUUAGGCUUUUAUGUUGCAUUUCCUCUUUCUUUAUUAUAAUACCUUCUUCCAGUCACUCCCAUCCUCACAUCCAUUAUUCUCUCCCUAACCCAGACUACGCAAUAAUGUCCCAUUUCGCUUGCAUUCUUUCUGUUCAAUUACUCUUGGAGGAAACGUGCAGAAAAAUCAGUUGUAAAAAGAAACUGGAUUAUUCCCAUGCAGUCUGAGUGCAGAAUUGGUGCAGAAUGCCAAGAUCAAAAUUAUAGAUGCUAAAGCAAGUGUUUCUAUGAAGAAGUAGUUUGACGGACUGUAGAAAGAGAAAUAACAUUUUACUUACAGUCUGCUAAUUACAGAAGGUGUACUCUGUGAUUUUUAGUGAAGUUCAGCUUGCAUAAAAGGGAGAAAAAUCAAAAAAAUCAGACUGAGCAUAUAUAAAUUGAGGCAGCUAGCUAAAGGAAAGUCAGAAAGAGCAGCUGAAUGGUUUGUGAUGCUGUGCAAUCCAUUUAUAGUCAUUAUAUGAGACUCAGAACUGGAAUGGGGGCUGCAAAAGGAAAGGCUUUAGUUUGCUGACCUCUAGCUUCUUCAAAUGGUGCAAUGUAUUAAUCUUGGUUCUAUCUAGAUCAGGAGGCCGUUACUGUGCCCUGCAUCUCCCCUGUAGCCUGUGUACCUGCAUCUCCAUUCUGUGAAAACCAAGCUGUGAAGGUGUGAAGGAAGCGCUCCUGCUUCCCCCAGCAAGGAACAGGCACGUAGCCAUCGUAAGCGCUACUCGGCAAGAACGGCAGAGUACUCUCCUCUGUUUCCCCGGGCUUCGGUGCAGUAUCAGAAGACCAAAAAAUUAAAGGUGACAUGUUGAAACUGCAGGAGAAAGGAAGUUUUUACUAAGAAAAUGAUGUAAUUUAGAGGGGGGAAAUAGAUCAGAGAGGCUGUCAAGUUAAAUGCAAAAGUAAGAAGGCAAGCCCAAAAAAGACUUUUGAGAAUCAACUUGCUAAAGGCAUAACACCUAAUAAUAACUAAUGUUCAUGGUAUCAGGGAGCUGAAAGUUUAUCAGUGGUGAUGGGGUCAGUAGCUGAUCAAGAUGUAAAAAUAACAGUUGAAGAAAAUAAAACCAUCAUAUAAAAGUUAAGUAUGUUUGGAGAGUUUUUUUAUUUUUUUUUAACAUGAUGCUAUUUCACCUUGAAGAUUUUUAGCAAGGGUUACUUAAGCUGGGGUAACAGAGCUCUGAAAGGAAGUGUUUGGUUGCUUUUUUAAGGGAAUAUUUAGGGUAAUUAUAGCAACUUCAGACCAAGAAGUCUGGAUUCUGCAUUGAUCACACUUCAGAAGCUAUAAAAGAGACUACUACGUUUUCAGCUUAUCUGCUAGUGUAUUGGGGAAGGAUUGAUACAGAUUUUCCUGAGGUUAAUUCACUCAGUCUGCCAGAGGGUUUUAAAAAUAUCUCAUGAUGCCUUCAAUAUGAGGCAUAUGAUAUAAAUUUGCAUUUUCAAAAUGCUUCAAAUGGCUCUUAAAGAAAUUAAAGUGGCCUGCAAUAAGAAGCAAAGUCCUUCUACUUAAUAAUCAGUUGGUAAUUAAAAAAGUGUAUGAAUAAAUUGUCAGACUUCUCAGUAGAGGCAUUUACAAACAGAAUCAUGUAGGAAUCAGCUCUGCAGGCUAUGAUGGUUAACAUAAGAUAAUACAAAACAGCUUCUGUACUAUUUAUUGCUUCUCAUACAUCAAGUUGCAGGAGGCAUAAAUGAAAUUAUAGGUUAGUAGUUUUAAUUAUACAUAUCAUUACAAUGUCUUUGGAGUUAACCUAUACUUGGAUAAAAUUUGUACUUCUAGUCUUUAUAGUUAUAGUAUGUAGUAGUGAUCAAUUAAUUUUUUACAGUUGCUGUAAAAAGAUUUUACUUGCCAUUUUUAGAAUCAAGGUAGCAUAUGCUAUUUAUAUUUUUACAUAAUUUUACAGAAAUGAGCACAUAGAUUUGCUCAAGUAUGGAAAAAAAUAAUUUGGCAAAUGGCAAAUAUUUAGGGAUUCUACUGAUUUCUUUGAGAUUUUGAAAACACUUUCUUACUCUGUAAAAUACAUUUGAUACUGAUUUCCACUAAGACUGAGAUUUUCCCAUUGUUAUUAAUGAUACUGAAAGCUACAUGGCCUUACUAGUGAUCUUAGUUUUAAGAUCAGGGUCAUUAAUUUGGGGUUAGGGAGGAAUUGUCUAAUGGGUUAGGUUGAAAACAGUUGUACUUCUUUAGUCUUUAAUUGUGAAUGAAGUUCUGUUUCCUCAGAUUGUCUGAAUCACUGGAUGUAUUUCUCUGUAAUUUGGCUGGAUACUUGCUGCCAAAGACAGAAAUAGAAUGCAAGGACUUGGGAGGAAUUGAAUAGUGAAUGUUAAUAUGUUACUUUCUAAGUUCCUUGCAGGAGAAUCUUCUAAUAAGCACCAACUGUCACACUGAAAUUAAUAGGAAUGCAAAACAUCACACUCUUUAUUCAGUCUUCAUGUAAUACAAGCUUUUUUGCUUAAUUGUCUUUGUCUUGUCUGUUUUUUAGACUACAAAUCCUAAUCUCACUUGGGACCACCUACUGCUAUUGCAAUGCAAGUCAUAUUUAAAAUUAUUAGGAAGUACUCUCAGUGUCUAAUUUGUUUUACAUAUGCUUAAAUACUGUUGUAAGUAUAUUUACACUAGAAAAAGUACUGCUUAAAUGUUCUAAAUUUAGGGGUGGAGGAGCUUUGUGAAGACUUCUUACUUACACAUAUUUAGCAUUCUGUUGUGAAUUUUCCCAUUAACUUAAAUUAAACGUUGGUGCUCUCAGUGGAAAUGAAUAUGUAAGUCUUCACAAGGUUGUGUUUUAAGUGCUGAGGGAACAAGUGAAUACAGUUGGAAGAGUGCAAAGUAACAGCAUGUGUUUGCCUGUGUGACUGUCAGUGGUCAGAGCAUGAAGUGAUCUGCAUUGCAGGAUUGCACAGCAAACAGACAGCAUAUUUGCAAAUGGUAAAUAAAGUUUCAUUUAAGAUUAGCACAGCCAUACAUCUCCUGAAUUCAGUGCAAAUAACAAAGGUGUAAUAUUAUCUGCAAAUGACUUACACUAGGAUUUUGUUCCUGUUUCUAAAGCCACUGAGAAUUAGAUAAAAGCCUGAAAAUACUUCAGUAACUAUUUGUAAACUCUUUUGUCUUAUUUACUUAGUACCCUGAUUUCUCAUACAGUGUUGCACUGUUGUCAAGCUGUGCUGCUUACUUAUGAUUGGUAUUAAUAGCAUUUACAUUCAUUAAUAUUUAUGAGUUGAAAGUAUAGAUGAGUUUUUAGAAACAGUGUAAUGUAUUAGGGUCAAAAAUCAGGGGUAAAAACCAGAAAGUAUUUUGGGCUGCAGAACAGCUAGAGAAAUUGAACCUGGGAACUGUGUUUCACAAAUGAAAGAUUUGAUUUGAAUAUAAAAUUAUUUUCAAUAAAAGUGGAGAAAAAGGUGCAGCCAGUGUGAGAGUGUAGUGCGACAAUGAUGGAUGCCAGAAGUAUCACCUGUGUCUCCCACACACUCCUUUGCUGUUAGAGAUGAAGGCAGAAUCUGUGCCGUAGCUCACCAAGGUGUGGAGUGCUGAUGAGGCAUUUGGCCCGGCUGGAUCUGGGGCCAGGCCUGUGGUGUCGGCUGGUGUGUGCACAGUGCAUCUUCAGCAAUCCCAGCCCCUUCCAGCUUAUGGGAUCUGAAAUACCUGUCAAGAAAUAAUAACCUGAACUACUGAAUUUGUUUCAGCUCUGCAUUUCAGAACUCUAGGGUAGACCUUGGCUUAUUUAGUCCAUCUGUAGGCUUAUUCUUUGAUAGGUUUAUGCGGGAAAAUGCAGAUCUUGACCAGAACUGGGUUGCCCAGCACAUUGGCCAUCUAAAUACUGGCUUCUUGCCUUCUGCUGUAGACUUGGCCCUAGUUUUGGCAAGGAGGUAAAAGAGUUCAGCUUUAUUUUCAUCAAGUAGUAGAAAUUCUUGCCAGUUUAGUAAUAGAUGAAGGCUUGGCAGUAUUCUUGAUGCCCAUUCCCCUGCUUCCAAUCUUGGCCUUGAGAUUUUGGCAAUACAAGUUUCCUGUGCUGUGUAUAACCAUCAUUCUACAACAGUUUUGAUCUCUAGGCAUGGGAAAUAAAAAUUUAUGGUAGAUAGCAAUUAUUCAAUGGGCAUCAGAUUAAAGUAUUUUCAAAAUAAGCAUUUUAUAAAAAAAACCCUCCAGUGUUUUUUAGUUGAACAUUGCUCCCAAGAAUCCCAUUAAUUCAGCCUGCUUGUCAAGGAAUGCUUUUCCCUUCAGUAAUAAUGAAGUUGGUGUGGUUCUUACUUUACAAGAAGUUUUGCUGUCCUAAAAUUGGCAGGCUGUAGGCAAUUCUGUGAAAGAGAGCUGAUGCUGUUCAAGAAGAAUUGCAGCUUGCAGUUCUAUGCAAGUGACCGACUAAACAAAUAAAGUUCAUUUUAAAACAAAA